rnacentral:rRNA from 1 species
CACGUAGGGGGCGAGCGUUGUCCGGAUUUAUUGGGCGUAAAGAGCUCGUAGGCGGUUUCGUAAGUCGGAUGUGAAAACUCCAGGCUCAACUUGGAGACGCCAUUCGAUACUGCGAUGACUUGAGUCCGGUAGGGGAGUGUGGAAUUCCUGGUGUAGCGGUGAAAUGCGCAGAUAUCAGGAGGAACACCGGUGGCGAAGGCGGGACUCUGGGCCGAUACUGACGCUGAGGAGCGAAAGCUAGGGGAGCAAACGGG